rnacentral:lncRNA from 1 species
UUGAAACAGCUGAAAGAGAAAAAAAAAGGAAAGAAGGGAGAGAGGGGAAAGGGCAGAGCUCCGGCCACGGGCCGGUCACCGGACGGUCACCGAAAGUCUGCCGGUGCCGGCGCCGGCCACCGCACGCGGUGGCCGGAAAAGGUAAAAAUUUACUUUUUUGUUUUUUUUUUAUUUUUUCGAAUAUAUGUGUAUAUAUAUGCUAGAAAUGAGGAAGAAAAGAAGAAAAAAAAUGGAUUUAAGAAGAUAAUAGAGAAAAAUAAAAAAACAAAAUCACCUUCCGAUUUAUGUUUUCGUUCCUUGUUUCCCUUUUUUUUGUAUUUUCCUCUGCUUUUUGUAUUUGAUGUAUGCUAUUUGUUGUUUGAAUCUAGUGCUGAUAUUGUUAUUCCGAAAUGGUUAAAUUUGCUUCUCUUUUUUUCAAUCCCCCCCUUUACAAAUGUUUAUUUCUCAGCUUUAUAGCCGACUACAAAACUAGGAAAAUAUUGUUUAUCUUUUGUUCUAUUCUGUUUGGCCUGCUUCUGUCUUUGCAGGGUAUGGAGGAGCUGGUGGUGGAGGAGGAGCAUGCAGCGGCAGAUGGUGUCAGACGCGUGGGGGUAUGGGGCUGCUAUAGUGGAGCAGUGUAUGGGGCUAAGUACAAGUGGGGAGGGUUGCGGCUGAGUAGGUUAAGGUUUCUGAAACCCUAAGUCUGGAGUUUGGGCUUCUGGGCCUGGGUCAAGUGUUGGGUUUUGGGUAGUUGGGCUAAGGUUUGGGCAGGGGUUUUAGUGUAUUGAAAUGGAUCAAUCGGGUUUGGGUUGUAAGAGGGGGAAAUGGGUUUGGUAUUAGUGGGCCAAAAUUGGCCUACUACAAAAGUAAAUCUCAUUUUUAAUUAAUUUUAAUAAU